UCUGUAAUCAGGCAGGGAUUAGUCACCACCAGCCAAUUACCAAGCUCAGCUUCCCAAAGCAAUUUGUCUGUGGGGAAAUUUAUAAAUCCUGGUUAACUCUGCAGGGAAAAACUUCACUGGGUUGGGAGCAGGUAGUGAGCAAGUGCAUCCUCCUGGGUGCCAUCCUGGUCACACUGGGGCUCAGGUGGGAUUUCUGCAGGGUCCAGAGAAAAUCCACACACCACAGGUGUGAGAGAAGCUGCUGCCUGCUGGGAGGUUAUUCUUGCCCAAGUGGAAACGAGCUGUGUUUGCUGCAAGCACUUUUACACUGGUGAAGUAACUGUGAAGGAGCAGCAGCUGCUGUUUCAACCAUUCCAGCAAGUGUGGAGUGCCAGAGAGUUUCUGGAUGGAGGAACCAGCAGAGUCUUCCUUCCUGCCAAGGCCACACUGGUUUGAAGAGCAGUGCAAAGGCAGCUGCUGAAGUUGGGGUUUACAGAACAGCAGGGCCAGAAGGAGGAGAGGACCCUGGAUGGGGCACGGGGUGAUCCAGGCUGUCCCUGGGUUCUUGGGAGGUCUGGAGUGGGGAAUUCCCAGGUCCUUGUCUUGCUGCAGUGUCUAGAGAGCCUGGGUUCUUGGGGCAGGUUCCCUGCACCCCCUUGCUUUCCAGACUUCUACCUGGUGCCAGCUGAGUCUGACAGUCUGAAUUCAAAUCUGAAGCACACCAGGAAAACACGAGACAUGUCAGACAACCCAAUGCAAGUCCAUCAGACAGAGAGCUGAGAAAAAGAUGGGGCCCUCAUAAAAAAAAAGCACUAGCUGUGUCUGGCUCUCCUUUGUUAAUCUUAUUGACAGGCAAUGAAAUUCACAAUUUCCACCUGUUUUUUCCCCACUUUGAAACAGAAAACAAAAACUAAAGUAGUUUAUUUUCUCAUCCCUUACAUCUUCUAACCACAUCUUCUAACCCUGAGGACCUAGCCCCAAGGUACUGUUUCAGUGCAGUAUUUUUUGCUCCAUACUAUUCCACUGAACCUGAAUUUCCUGUAUUUCCAUACCACAUGGAGAAGGCUAAGUUUAGCUCUUGCACAUUUUAGGUAUCUAUCAAGACAAAACUUGGACUGCAAGGAGUCUCUGGCAUGCUCAGCCAUACUGAACGUGCACAGCGACACAAACAUUUCCUCUCCUUACUCUGUCCCUGAAUAAAUCACUUCAGCAUUAUUAAUUUCA
ensembl:lncRNA